CUGCUUGCUGCUUCCUUCGCAUCUCCUCCUCGAUGUUCACAUCAUGCAAAGUAGUCUCCUCACAUUCAUCCAAUUCCAUUUCAGACACUUCCAUUUUGGGUUUUGGCGGCAGCACCGCUUCAAGGUUCUUGCACUGCUCUGGGGUUAAUGACUCGGGGAAAUCAACAGUGAAAUGAAUGUACAGUUUCCCUCUCAUAAAAGGCCUUUGGUACAUUGGCAUUCCUUCAUCAUUGAUAGCCUUAAACUGGUCUGCAGAACCAACAAAAAUUGUGAUCAGUCAGUAUCCACAAGAUAUUUUCAGAACCACAGCCUAUCCAUCAGAAAUCAAAAAGUGAACCACAACCAAAUUUAGCCAAGGGCAGGAGACAGACAGAGCAUAAACACACACAUGCACACAUGUGCAGAGAAUGAGAGAGAGGCUUAAAUACACAUGACUCCAUGAAUCUAAAUAGUUGCAUAAGAACCUGAGAAGAAAAGGUUCUUAUAUUUGCCAUUAUCACCCUCAGUAAAUAUUUGAGGGGUAAUGCUAAAAGAUUGGCACUGGCCAGGGGAUAAACUGAUGAAGCAGCCUAUUAUGGGAGACUCCAAGUGCAUUACACAUGAUUCUUUGACAGUCAUUAGGGGCUAUCGGGCCUACCAGGCUUGACAACUUCGCCAGGCUGGGACUUGAUCAGCAGCUGUCUGUUGUCUAGGUGAGUCAAGAUGAACUGGAAACCACAUAGGGCCUCAGUCAAGGUCAACGUGUGCUCAACAAAAAGAUCAUCUCCCUUUCGCUUGAACUUAGGAUGUUCCUUCUGUUGCAAGAUAAAAACUAUGUCCCCAGUAAUAGUUUCCGGCUGCAAAAGCACAAAUCAAGGAAAUCAUGUCAAGAUUCAGUUAUUAUAAGCAAAUUAUUUCAAAAAUGUGACUGCAUAUCUUACUGCUUCGUCUGCCUCGCCUGGGAAUGUUAUCUUCUGCCCAUUCUGCAUACCUUUCUCCACGUGAACUUCCAACACCUUCUUCUCCUGCACAACCUUCUCUCCCUUACACUGUGGGCACCUAUCUUUGUCAUUAAUUGUCUCACCAGUACCCUUACACUCAUUGCAAGGGUGCUGCAUCUGCUGGAUCAUAGAUGGACCAAGCUGUCUAAUAGAAACUUUCAUCCCAGACCCUUGACAGCCAGAACACUUCAUUGAAACACCUGACUUAGACCCUUUACUGGAAAUGACAAUAUAGCACCAUCAUGAAUGCAAGACAUAGUGAAAAAUACUCACCCCUGACACACACUACAAUGACUCCAUAAAUAAAUGAAAAAUGAAGUUGAAACAUAACUAAUCAAGCUAUACACUCACCCCUUGCACUUUGUGCACAACACAUUGCGAGAUAGUGAAAGCUUCUUUGAUGUCCCAUUGUAAACAUCCUCCAACGAAACCUUGAGAGGGUGGACAACAUCCUCUCCUUUUCUUUGUCUUCUACCUCUGCUGCUUCCACCACCUGAACAUCAGAAAAAUUUAAGAUAAACUAAUUGCACAAACGUGAAAACAAAAAAAGUAAAUUCAACUUCAACAUGUGCUUAACAUACCACCAAAGGGGCUUCCACCACCAAAGAAUGAUUGGAAUAUGUCAAAUGGGUCGUGUCCACCACCUCCACCACCCAUUCCUUCCUUGAGAGCGUCCUCACCAUACUGAUCAUAUAUCUCACGCUUCUCCGGGUCACUUAAAACCUCAUAAGCUUGGGCAAGCUCUUUAAACUGAAAGAAUCAAAGAACCCAAAUAAUGCAUCAACUAACAAUAAGAACCUAAUAAGCUCAGGCAAGCUCCUUAAACUAAAAGAACCAAAGGACAAAACUGAUUCAUCAAGA
rnacentral:lncRNA from 1 species